CUGGGGUCAGGCCAGGGUGUCCCCGCGGGAACAGGGGUCUCGGCCCCGACAUUGGGCCCCUAUCCACUCAAGGGGCCUCCUAGUGUGUGCCGCACUUGCCACGCCGGGCUCUCCACCCAUGGCUCCCUCUCCUGCCCUCCGUGCGUCUCCUCUGCAGAGAAUAAGGACGAAGAUGUGGACAGGACAGCGUGCUAGGACCCCAGCACCCCUGGCGGAUGGGGGCUACGAGGGUGGGGUCAUCCCCAGCUGCGCUCCCGUGAGCCAGGAGGCCAAAGGCACAACGCCUUCCUCGUCACAGGAAGAUCUCACGUAGCGGCCGUGGGUCCUCCAGGCUCUGAGCAGGAAAUGGAGCUGCUGGAUCCGCCCUGGGAUGGAAGCACCAGCCCGGCUCGCCGUCCCUGCGGGCACAAGGCUCCUCCUUCCCGGCUGCUGCCCGUUUUGGCAGGUUCUCCUUCUCGUGAGCAGGGAGGGCCAGGCCGUCAUGCCAUCUCCGGGACAGUUUUCCUGGGAGGUCCACCUUCCAACUGCCUAAGGGGGGAUCGAGCCCCAGAUCUGUGCACUAUCCAGAACUGGAAGAAGGAAAAUCUGUUCUUCAUUUCAGUCGUUGAGCUUCUUGAAUAAUCUCUUGUUUAUAUCUAAACUGUCCGGAAGUGACUUUGGCUGGUAAGACCACUCUGGGAAAAGAAUGGACCUUCCCGAAAA